GAUGAACGCUAGCUACAGGCUUAACACAUGCAAGUCGAGGGGCAGCACAGUGUAGCAAUACAUGGGUGGCGACCGGCGCACGGGUGCGUAACGCGUAUCCAACCUUCCCGUUACUCAGGGAUAGCCUUCCGAAAGGGAGAUUAAUACCUGAUGGUGUUGAAAUUCCGCAUGUUAUUUCAACUAAAGAUUUAUCGGUAACGGAUGGGGAUGCGUGACAUUAGGUAGAUGGCGGGGUAACGGCCCACCAUGCCUACGAUGUCUAGGGGUUCUGAGAGGAAGGUCCCCCACACUGGAACUGAGACACGGUCCAGACUCCUACGGGAGGCAGCAGUGAGGAAUAUUGGUCAAUGGAUGGAAAUCUGAUCCAGCCAUGCCGCGUGCAGGAUGACGGCCCUAUGGGUCUUAAACUUCUUUGUAAGGGAGCAAUAAGUCUCACGUGUGGGAUGAUGAGAGUACCUUACGAAUAAGCAUCGGCUAACUCCGUAGCCAG
rnacentral:rRNA from 1 species